rnacentral:rRNA from 1 species
UGUCUAUUAAUUGUAGACCAGUAUGAAAGGCAUCAUGAGGGUCUGUCUGUCUCUUAUAAUAAAUCAAUUAAACUGAUCUCCUAGUAAAAAAGCUAGAAUGCACACACAAGACCAGAAGACCCUGUGAAGCUUAAACUAAACUAUUAAACCCUGUAAUACCUACUUUCGGUUGGGGCGACCUUGGAAAAAAAAAGAACUUCCAAAUAUAUGACUAUAACUCACACACCGGCCUACAAGCCUCACACAGACCCAGUACAACUGAUAAUUGAACCAAGUUACUCCAGGGAUAACAGCGCCAUCUUCUUCAAGAGUCCAUAUCAAAAAGAAGGUUUACGACCUCGAUGUUGGAUCAGGACAUCCUAAUGGUGUA